rnacentral:rRNA from 1 species
AUUGAACGCUGGCGGCAGGCCUAACACAUGCAAGUCGAGCGGUAGAGAGGAGCUUGCUUCUCUUGAGAGCGGCGGACGGGUGAGUAAUGCCUAGGAAUCUGCCUGGUAGUGGGGGAUAACGUUCGGAAACGGACGCUAAUACCGCAUACGUCCUACGGGAGAAAGUGGGGGAUCUUCGGACCUCACGCUAUCGGAUGAGCCUAGGUCGGAUUAGCUAGUUGGUGAGGUAAAGGCUCACCAAGGCGACGAUCCGUAACUGGUCUGAGAGGAUGAUCAGUCACACUGGAACUGAGACACGGUCCAGACUCCUACGGGAGGCAGCAGUGGGGAAUAUUGGACAAUGGGCGCAAGCCUGAUCCAGCCAUGCCGCGUGUGUGAAGAAGGUCUUCGGAUUGUAAAGCACUUUAAGUUGGGAGGAAGGUCAGUAGCUUAAUACGUUGCUGAUUUGACGUUACCGACAGAAUAAGCACCGGCUAACUCUGUGCCAGCAGCCGCGGUAACAC